UACGUAGGGGGCAAGCGUUGUCCGGAAUCAUUGGGCGUAAAGAGCGUGUAGGCGGCCAGAAAAGUCCGCUGUGAAAACUCGAGGCUCAACUUCGAGCUGUCGGUGGAAACUUUCUGGCUAGAGUCCGGAAGAGGAGAAUGGAAUUCCUGGUGUAGCGGUGAAAUGCGCAGAUAUCAGGAAGAACACCCGUGGCGAAGGCGGUUCUCUGGGACUGUACUGACGCUGAGACGCGAAAGCGUGGGGAGCGAACAGG
rnacentral:rRNA from 1 species